rnacentral:rRNA from 1 species
ACUUAAAUUGAAGAGUUUGAUCAUGGCUCAGAUUGAACGCUGGCGGCAGGCCUAACACAUGCAAGUCGAGCGGUAGCACAGAGAGCUUGCUCUCGGGUGACGAGCGGCGGACGGGUGAGUAAUGUCUGGGAAACUGCCUGAUGGAGGGGGAUAACUACUGGAAACGGUAGCUAAUACCGCAUAACGUCGCAAGACCAAAGAGGGGGACCUUCGGGCCUCUUGCCAUCAGAUGUGCCCAGAUGGGAUUAGCUAGUAGGUGGGGUAACGGCUCACCUAGGCGACGAUCCCUAGCUGGUCUGAGAGGAUGACCAGCCACACUGGAACUGAGACACGGUCCAGACUCCUACGGGAGGCAGCAGUGGGGAAUAUUGCACAAUGGGCGCAAGCCUGAUGCAGCCAUGCCGCGUGUAUGAAGAAGGCCUUCGGGUUGUAAAGUACUUUCAGCGGGGAGGAAGGCGAUAAGGCUAAUAACCUUGUCGAUUGACGUUACCCGCAGAAGAAGCACCGGCUAACUCCGUGCCAGCAGCCGCGGUAAUACGGAGGGUGCAAGCGUUAAUCGGAAUUACUGGGCGUAAAGCGCACGCAGGCGGUCUGUCAAGUCGGAUGUGAAAUCCCCGGGCUCAACCUGGGAACUGCAUUCGAAACUGGCAGGCUAGAGUCUUGUAGAGGGGGGUAGAAUUCCAGGUGUAGCGGUGAAAUGCGUAGAGAUCUGGAGGAAUACCGGUGGCGAAGGCGGCCCCCUGGACAAAGACUGACGCUCAGGUGCGAAAGCGUGGGGAGCAAACAGGAUUAGAUACCCUGGUAGUCCACGCCGUAAACGAUGUCGACUUGGAGGUUGUGCCCUUGAGGCGUGGCUUCCGGAGCUAACGCGUUAAGUCGACCGCCUGGGGAGUACGGCCGCAAGGUUAAAACUCAAAUGAAUUGACGGGGGCCCGCACAAGCGGUGGAGCAUGUGGUUUAAUUCGAUGCAACGCGAAGAACCUUACCUACUCUUGACAUCCAGAGAACUUUCCAGAGAUGGAUUGGUGCCUUCGGGAACUCUGAGACAGGUGCUGCAUGGCUGUCGUCAGCUCGUGUUGUGAAAUGUUGGGUUAAGUCCCGCAACGAGCGCAACCCUUAUCCUUUGUUGCCAGCGGUUCGGCCGGGAACUCAAAGGAGACUGCCAGUGAUAAACUGGAGGAAGGUGGGGAUGACGUCAAGUCAUCAUGGCCCUUACGAGUAGGGCUACACACGUGCUACAAUGGCGCAUACAAAGAGAAGCGACCUCGCGAGAGCAAGCGGACCUCAUAAAGUGCGUCGUAGUCCGGAUUGGAGUCUGCAACUCGACUCCAUGAAGUCGGAAUCGCUAGUAAUCGUAGAUCAGAAUGCUACGGUGAAUACGUUCCCGGGCCUUGUACACACCGCCCGUCACACCAUGGGAGUGGGUUGCAAAAGAAGUAGGUAGCUUAACCUUCGGGAGGGCGCUUACCACUUUGUGAUUCAUGACUGGGGUGAAGUCGUAACAAGGUAACCGUAGGGGAACCUGCGGUUGGAUCACCUCCUUACCUUAAAGAA